rnacentral:rRNA from 1 species
ACGUAGGGUGCGAGCGUUGUCCGGAAUUACUGGGCGUAAAGAGCUCAUAGGUGGUUUGUCGCGUUGUUCGUGAAAUCUCACGGCUUAACUGUGAGCGUGCGGGCGAUACGGGCAGACUAGAGUACUGCAGGGGAGACUGGAAUUCCUGGUGUAGCGGUGGAAUGCGCAGAUAUCAGGAGGAACACCGGUGGCGAAGGCGGGUCUCUGGGCAGUAACUGACGCUGAGGAGUGAAAGCGUGGGGAGCGAACAGGAUUAGAUACCCUGGUAGUCCACGCCGUAAACGGUGGGUACUAGGUGUGGGUUUCCUUCCUUGGGAUCCGUGCCGUAGCUAACGCAUUAAGUACCCCGCCUGGGGAGUACGGCCGCAAGGCUAAAACUCAAAGGAAUUGACGGGGGCCCGCACAAGCGGCGGAGCAUGUGGAUUAAUUCGAUGCAACGCGAAGAACCUUACCCGGGUUUGACAUGCACAGGACGCGUCUAGAGAUAGGCGUUCCCUUGUGGCCUGUGUGCAGGUGGUGCAUGGCUGUCGUCAGCUCG